UACAGAGGGGGCCAGCGUUAUUCGGAAUUAUUGGGCGUAAAGGGCGCGUAGGCGGCUUUGCGUGUCUUUCGUGAAAUCCCUCGGCUCAACUGAGGACGUGCGGAAGAAACUGCAGGGCUGGAGUCCGGGAGAGGAGGGUGGAAUUCCCAGUGUAGCGGUGAAAUGCGUAGAUAUUGGGAGGAACACCGGUGGCGAAGGCGGCCCUCUGGACCGGUACUGACACUGAGACGCGAAAGCGUGGGGAGCGAACAGG
rnacentral:rRNA from 1 species